GGAAGAUUAAAAUAUUUAUCAACUACCAAUGCUAUUGAAAUAUUGUAACAUGGGGUUAUGGGCAUCAAACUUCCCAAUGAUGCAACACUAUAGAUAGAACGUCUAAAUUUAAUCUUUUUAUUUUAAUAUUUGCUGUGGUUUUGCAAGAAGAUACAUCACAAACAGGAGCCUAGAACAUAAUAGUUCCUAUAUCAGAUGUCAAGAAAAAGGUCCAAAUACUUGAC
rnacentral:misc_RNA from 1 species